UACGGAGGGUGCAAGCGUUAUCCGGAUUCACUGGGUUUAAAGGGUGCGUAGGACGGCAGGUAAGUCAGUGGUGAAAUCUCCGAGCUUAACUUGGAAACUGCCGUUGAUACUAUCUGUCUUGAAUAUUGUGGAGGUGAGCGGAAUAUGUCAUGUAGCGGUGAAAUGCUUAGAUGUGACAUAGAACACCAAUUGCGAAGGCAGCUCGCUACACAUAUAUUGACUCUGAGGCACGAAAGCGUGGGGAUCAAACAGG
rnacentral:rRNA from 1 species